CCCGCCACCCACCGUCCAUGGCGGAGCAGGAGAAGGACGGUGCCUGGGUGCACAAGAUCCCUCCGACCCGCCGCCAAGAUCCCUCCGAGUCCACGUCGACCUGAUCCGCCAAUUUUGCCUGCCACAGCCUGCAAGUGUGCAAAGUAUCCUUGUGAUGCCUUCAUUCUAUACGCAAUUCACAGAACGGCUGGACUUAGGAGCGGCACGCCUAUCAAAUCAAGGCGGGGCUAUGGGUGACCCUGCGGGUGCCAGAGAUGCGGAGAAUAAGGAGCUGGCCUACACGGUACUAAGUGAUGGUGGUACGUCCAUUGCACGCAUUUGGUUCGUCCGAUAUUCCGCGAUCAGUCCCACGCGCCUCCACGGCCGGCCCUGAUCGCGGCCUCGACCUCCAUGGGAUCUCCACCGAGUGCUGCCCCGACAUGCUGCUCUGUACAAUAAUGCCCACGCUCCCGUCGGCCAGGCAUGCCGUCCCAGGGCUGGUCAUCACCGUUUCCUGACUCUGUUUCUCCAGGUCUAUGGUCGCCAUCGUUGGAGGUCUAUGGUUGUCCAGUCCAUGCUACAGAAGUAUAGCUCCAUCCAUCCUAGGGUGCUCCAAUAAGGGUACACAAGGCCACUUGUUGGAUUCUUUGUGUCGAAGACACUUGGUUACUACAGUGCUGGGAGUCUAGGACAAAAGUGGAGCAUGGCAUCAAUCUUGUCGAGCCGGUCUCAGCAGGGCCUCCUCUCUCGCCGCUUCCUUCCAGAAACCAAGGAUAGUUAUUUUGCAACUUCUUCUUUCAGUCCAUUUGAUGCGUGCAGUGAGAAUAAAUGCCAAUGGUUGUCAGGUUAUUGUGGUACGGUAUUUGGAAGAGCAAACUGCAGUGAUGAACUACUUACUUUUGAUAUGGUAGAGAGGACUGGAGUUGAGAAAACCUCUGUAGUCUGUACUCUCAUCCUAGAUUUCAGGUCAGUAUUGCCUAAUUGAAUAGUUCUUUUUGGUUGGAACAGGGAUUUAUUUUGACAAUCAUUGUAGUCUCUCCUGCUCCAGGGCUACGGAGCAGAAUACAACAAGGAGAGUUAUGCUACUAAACUAUACUCGUUAUUCUGCUGGCUGUACAUCCAUCUAUUGGGGGAUGCUACUUAGCUUCACAUUUUUGUGCACCUGACAUGCUUGAACUAAUUGGAUGGAAUGAGCUGUCUUGCAAUACCAUUUUUAUCACAAAUGAUGAAGUUCAUUGUAUCAAAGUCUUCAAUUUGACUAAGUGUUGAUUUGGACUUGAAAGUUGAUGGCCAUGCUCACUUACGUCCAGUAAGUUGUAAUAUGCAUUGUGGCUGAUUUGUUGUUCACUUUUUUUUCCUAUUAUAACUGAAACCCAGGUCGCUGCCAGACAUGUCGUGAAGAAAUUCCACCAUUGGACAUGAGCUCAGUUUUCCUUCUUAGUAGCCACUGAUGGAGGUUUA